UGCCAGCCGCCGCGGUAAUACGGAGGGGGUUAGCGUUGUUCGGAAUUACUGGGCGUAAGGCGCACGUAGGCGGAUUAGAAAGUUGGGGGUGAAAUCCCAGGGCUCAACCCUGGAACUGCCUCCAAAACUACUAGUCUUGAGUUCGAGAGAGGUGAGUGGAAUUCCGAGUGUAGAGGUGAAAUUCGUAGAUAUUAGGAAGAACACCAGUGGCGAAGGCGGCCUACUGGACCGGUACUGACGCUGAGGUACGAAAGCGUGGGGAGCGAACAGGAUUAGAUA
rnacentral:rRNA from 1 species